rnacentral:rRNA from 1 species
AGAAAUUCCGAUUCGUCGGAAGAGUAGAGUGGCGGACGGGUGAGUAACGCGUGGGUAAUCUGCCCUUGAGUUCGGGAUAACUUCGCGAAAGUGGAGCUAAUACCGAGUAAAACUGACCUUGUUCCGGCAAGAUCAGUAAAAGAUGGCCUCUACAUGUAAGCUGUCGCUUAAGGAUGAGCCCGUGUACCAUUAGCUUGUUGGUAGGGUAAUGGCCUACCAAGGCAACGAUGGUUAGCUGGUCUGAGAGGAUGAUCAGCCACACUGGAACUGAGAUACGGUCCAGACUCCUAUGGGAGGCAGCAGUGGGGGAUCUUGCGCAAUGGGGGAAACCCUGACGCAGCGACGCCGUGUGAGUGAUGAAGGCUUUCGGGUCGUAAAGCUCUGUCAGGUGGGAAGAAAUAUCUCGAUACGAAUAAUAUCGGGGUUUGACGGUACCACCAAAGGAAGCACCGGCUAACUCCGUGCCAGCAGUCGCGGUAAUACGGAGGGUGCAAGCGUUGUUCGGAAUUAUUGGGCGUAAAGAGCGUGUAGGUGGUUGAACAAGUCAGAUGUGAAAUCCCUCGGCUCAACCGAGGAAGUGCAUUUGAAACUGUUCAGCUUGAGUACGGGAGAGGAGAGCGGAAUUCCCGGUGUAGAGGUGAAAUUCGUAGAUAUCGGGAGGAACACCGGUGGCGAAGGCGGUUCUCUGGCCCGAUACUGACGCUGAGACGCGAAAGCGUGGGGAGCAAACAGGAUUAGAUACCCUGGUAGUCCACGCCGUAAACGAUGGGCACUAGUGUAGAGGUAUUGAAUCCUUCUGUGCCGAAGCUACGCAUUAAGUGCCCCGCCUGGGGAGUACGG